GUUUCCCUCUCCCAGGAGCCUGUGCCAUGGCCCCUGUUCCUGCCUCCGCAGUCUCCUUACCUGUGCAGUGGGCACGCUGCUCCAGUUUCGAGUGACCCAUCACGGACUGAUGAGAAAACCAAAAGGUUCCUUUUGUGGAUUUCUCUAAGAUUUUCCCUUCACUUCAUCCUGCCUCCGGCUUCCUUCGAAGGCAUCCCGGCGUUGGAAAGACACAGCGGCAAGGGCUGAUCCGAGCCCCCUGGCGAAUUAGAUAAAACAGCGAUUGCUUCUGUGACGUUGCACGCUACAUGAUUUUAUGAAAAUAUGCUAAUGAGGGUGAAUAUAAUGUAACUGGAAUAUGCUUCAUGCAAAAGGUCUCUUGUAAGGUAUCAUUACAAAGCUUAUAAUGUCAUGAGCGAGGUCAGCCUAUUUGUAUGCAGGUAUCACUCUUGUAUCUGAAACUACAAAUAUGAAAUAGAACUCUGAGGGCCUAUUGUAAUUAUGCAAAGUGGGAUCCAUUAAUGGUGGUUUGGAAUCUUGGCUCCCAUUAACCAGGACAAUGG